UGUGAUGCUGGACACCUACAGGAACCUCACUGCUACAGGCUACAUUUGGGAUGACCAUAAUAUGGAAGAUCAUUGUCAUACUUCUAGAAGACAUAGAAGGCAUCUUCAAAGGCUUGAAAAA